rnacentral:rRNA from 1 species
CUCAGGACGAACGCUGGCGGCGUGCCUAAUGCAUGCAAGUCGCACGCAGCGUGCUUCGGUACGUUGAGUGGCGCACGGCUGAGGAUCACGUGGGAACAUGCCUCCUUGUGGGGGACAACACCGCGAAAGCGGUGCUAAUCCCGCAUACGCUCUUGUGAGAGAGGAAAGCAGUAAUGCGCAGGGAGAGUGGCCCGCGGCCCAUCAGGUCGUAGGUGGGGUAACGGCCUACCUAGCCAAUGACGGGUAGCUGGUCUGUGAGGACAGACAGCCAGACUGGGACUGAGACACGGCCCAGACUCCUACGGGAGGCAGCAGCAAGGAAUUUUCGUCAAUGGGCGCAAGCCUGAACGAGCAACGCCGCGUGGAGGAUGACGGCCUUCGGGUUGUAAACUCCUUUUUCGGGGGACGAUGAUGACGGUACCCCGGGAAUAAGGCUCGGCUAACUCUGUGCUAGCAGCCGCGGUAAUAC